CCUGCUUAAGUGCUGACACUUGAAAGGGUCUCUUUCUCCUCUUCCUCUUCCUCCCCAAAGGAAAGUGAUGACAUUUGGCUGGGUGAGGAGGAUGUGGCCUCUGGAGUGAUUUGUACCAUGGUAGUUCCUUGUUACACAAAGGAACAGAUCCUUCCUAGAAAGGAUUUGUAGGGGAAAUGAUCUCAGGCCCCAUUUAAUCUUGACAGAAGAAGAUGAUGAGAAGACUGUGUGCUGAGUUGGAGUUUUCCUUUGAAUUCCUAUGGUGUUGAAGGCAGCACUAUAAAUAGACACACUAUCCUUUUUACCCUGGUACAAUUCUGUCUCCAGCUCUCCAUACAGACAGCAAGUCUGCUGUUUCUCCCUUCCCAGGAUCGACUUGUGAACAUCAGCAGAGAGGAAAGAAACCUACAUCCAGUGUUUCAUGGCUGUUAUCUUGAAGAUAGAUAUUUUAAUGUCCAAGUCCCGGAGCUGGCUGAGGAACCCUGAAUUUGGGCAGAUGUUUCUGCGAGUACUCACUGUCUUCAGAGCAUCCACAAGUGUCAUGUUUUCAUGGAUCAUUAAAAAGGCAAGCACUAAAGUUGCUGAGCGGCUCACUCCCAUGGCACAGUGAACUAACACCUUUCCUACACAAAAAAAAAGGCACAAUAAGGUAAAACAACAGAACAAACAAAAAAAGUCAACCUAUGAGAGACUUUUGAGGCUGGACAGAGAUUUUAAUGGCAAUCCACAAAAUAGAAGGGCCUCCUGCCAUUUUGCCGUGGUUGUUCCCUCAUUUCCUCAAGAUGGAACUGAGAUGCAGAGAGAUUAUAUUAAUGUCUGGAGUCCCAAGAGGAGUCUGGCAGGGCGUUAGUUGGAUCCAAAUCAUCUUUCCUCUUUCCCUUUUGCUGGCACCUUCCUGGCUGGUACAACUCUGCCUGUGUUAUGCCGAUAGCCCAGAUGGGGACACGUGUCUUUCAGUAACAAGUCCUUACAUGAGAUUAUUGAGAGCCUCAGGCACGGCAGGGCCUGUGGUUACUACAGUAGCACAAACACUACCUAGCAAUAACAUGAUACAGAAAGCUCCUGCAGCCAAAUAUCCUAAAUUCCCUGUAUCAAAAACCUGACAAACGAAAUGGUUCAAAAUUCAAGAGCAUGGGGUCAUAAUUCAUGUGGAAGGGAAAAAAAAAAUAAAAAAGCAGCCUCUUGAUGCAUUUGAAAAUGCUGUCUAGUCUGUUUUUUCUUCUCUCGUCUCUCAGCAAGCAUCUCUGCAGUCAUCUUUUACACUCUUUGCUCUUUCCUCUCAGGUAGUGUGUAACUCUAUGGCUCUUUGUCCUCCUGAUGGAA